rnacentral:misc_RNA from 1 species
CAGAGAACUUGCCCUUCGGGGUAGAUCUCCCACCCUUUGUUUACAAUACCUUUGUUGCUUUGGCAGGCCCGUCUUCGGACCACCGGCUCCGGCUGGUCAGUGCCUGUCAGAGGACCCCAAAACUCUUCAUAAUUUAUUGUCUGAGUACUAUAUAAUAGUUA